ACGACCCUAAACAACGGAAAGCUUAAAAGUAAUAGAACAAACAUGGGUCAUAAAAAUUUGAUGCAUUUAUUCAAAUUUGUAUACAUAGACAUGAAUUUACAAUUGUUUAUUUUAUUCCUACUUAUUUUACUUUUUAUUUUUAUUUUUUAAACAUUUUGUAGGGUUUUUAAACUUUACAUUUAUUAUGAACUAAAAAAGAAAAAAAAAGAUAACCUCUAUUCUCAAUAUAUGUACAUAAAUACAAGUUCGAAUACAUACAUAUAAGUACAUACAAAUAAAGACAAUAAUAAAUGCAUACAAAAAUGGAAGUUGAUAAUAACAACAAGCUUAAUGACACAUUUUCAGCUUCGCAAUUAAUAGGAAAUAAAUUAUUACAAGGAUGGACUUUGCUAGGUUCUACAUGUCAUAUUUGUAAUAUAACUCCUCUUAUUAAACAAAAAUACAAAGAAGAAAGGUAUUGUGUCAGUUGCAAUGUAUUUAUUAGAAAUGAAAAAAAUACAACAGAUAAAAAAAACAAUGGUGGUAUUAAUUUAAACAUUGUCGAAAAGAAAGAAAAUGAAAAAGAUGAAAUAGGUGCUUUAGACGUAUAUACAGAUAAAGAAACAAAAAAAAAGGAUGAAACACAAAUAAACUCACCAGUAAAAUAUAUAAAAGAAAUAAAAUUGAACGACGCUGAUUAUACUGCGUUACUAAAUAAAAGUAACAUAAUGUCUAGUGAAAUUAGUAAUUUAUUUGAAUAUAAAAAUUAUAUAAAAGAAAGGUGUGGAUAUGAUGUUGGUACUUGGUUUAAUUUAAAUAAUAAUAAUGAAAACCAUGAUAGUAAUAACACUUAUGAUAAUAAUGACCAUUGUUCGCAGAAUGGACAAGAAGAAACACAACUUACCAAAAUUUAUGAAACAAACAAUAACCUAAAAAAUAUAAACUCUUAUUCUAAAUCAAUAACAGAAAAAAAUAAUACAACUACAAAACAAAAUAAUACACAUUUUUGUGAAAAAAAUAUGUCACAGUUAAACAUUGAUAAACAACAAAGAAUGUUAAAAAAUGGACAUAUAUAUAAUAAUAACAAUAAUGAAAACAAUAAUAUCCAUAACAAUAAUAUCUAUAACAAUAACCAACAAAUGAAUGUAACAAUUUUAAACAAUGCAAAGAAUAUAUUAAUGAUAAAAUUAGAAAAGUAUGUACAACAGUUAAAUAAUAAAGACAAUACAAAGGAAGAAGAAAUCGAAUAUUUAAAUAAUGUUUCUACUAUUGUUAAUGUCAUAGAAAAAAUAAACAAUUUAAAAAAGUAUGUUGUCAUGUAAUCAAUAAUUGUUUCUAUAUGGGUGAGUAUGCUUAUGUCUGCGUAUUUGUACAUAACAUAAAUAGUUUUAUUUUAUUUUGUUUUUGAUCAUUGUAUUUUAUAUUAUUGUAUUUUAUAUCAUUAUAUUUUGUGUCAUUAUAUUUUGUAUUAUUUAAUUUCUUUUUUUUUAUAUCUUUCGUUUUGGGGGUUAAAUAUUAAGCAAAUUUUUUAGUUUUGUAUAAAUAUACAUGAAAAAAAUAAUUAUUCUUUUCUUUUCUUUUCUUUUUGUACAAUACAAACCUAACUUAUUGAACCACUUUUUUUUUU
ensembl:lncRNA